rnacentral:lncRNA from 1 species
AGAUUUGCUUAACUUGGGUGAACCAACUGUCAUUGUCGCACCUCCCAUUGUGGACUCAUUCAUGCAGUUGGAAGGAUCGUACACUUCAAACAAACCCAUUUGACCUGCAAAUUUCAUGAAAAAAAAUAAUAACAAUUUCAAAACUGCUUCUAACUUCCCUCACCAUAACUCAGUUUAAACUUAUGCUUUCAUCACCUCCAACAUAAUCUAAUCCAAUGCAAGCCUUACAACAUGCCGACCAUAGCUCCAUAACAAAGACCGUAAACCGUUAGCCUGCAAAAACACAAAUAUACAUCAACCUUUUCCAACAUUAAGCCAUUUGAAUCCACAGCAUAACAGUGGAAAGAAGGAGGCAAAACAGAAGCAUAGCAUAAUAGAGAACUGUAAACACUCACUGAAACCAUGACUAACUUCAUAUGAGAACCGACUCGGUAACUAACCUGCCAAGUGCCAUAACUGCCCACGAUUAACAGCAACUGUCGAAACCAACUCGAACCGAAUUCCAACUGUCUUCAACCGUCCUAACCGCCUAAUCAAUUCCAAUUGUCGCCAACUGUCGCCAACUGUCAUUGAAUCUAACUAAUUCCUAACUGAAUCCACAGUUUUCCAUAACCUCCACAACUUCAACAACCUCUAUAGAACUGAACUGGUUUCUUCACCCAUUUUUUUUUCUUUUUCCAUCUCCAUUGCACCCCAGAACUGACGCUGACUUCACUUCAUCAACUUCUUCAACCUCUCAAUCACAUCCACCAAACCUCCCUUCACCUCCACCCUGCAACCCGCCGCGGAACCCUCCAACUUCUCCCAAUAACCACCAGCUUCCACCAUCUGCUCUGAAUGAGGUCCACAUAAAAAGCCGCCAACCUUCAUAAUUUUACGGAAUCUCCUCCAAUCAACAACAGAACGUAACAGAAACAGAAGAAGAGGAAAUAGCAAAACGGAAGGAGAAAACUCACGGUUUCGGGGAAAGGUCUUCAUCGAUCGAGAUUCGACGGAACUCAGAAGCGAUUACCUUCCCUCUUCAAAGAAAGGAUCCAACGCCUUUCCCUCUUCACUGCAACGCCACAACGCAAUCCAUCAGCAAUAGCGACUCGUAACACGCGUACCACGCGACGUCAAAGCGACGACGCCGUAACAGAAUCGACGGAUGAUGACGACGGAGCAUAACCAAAGGAGAUGAUCAUAACCUUGCGUCGACAUUUCGAAUCGGAGCAUCAUCGUCAUUGUUCAUCCAACGCGUCAUCGACGACAAAACAGAUCGGAGAAGACGAUUUCAGAUUCAUGUUGAUUUGAACGGCCACCGAAGGUGAGUUUGUUGUUUCAAUCUUUAACGUGAGUUUUUCGUAUUUUUCGUUUUGAAGCUAACGCAAGGUCGCGUUCUGGACGAUUGUUCGAAUUCCGGAAGAAGGUGGAGUUAAAUUUCUUAGGGAUGUUCGUGCUGAGCGUUGUUAACCUUGGAAUCUCUCUGUAGUGACAUGGCCAUGGAUUCGGUGAUCCGAUUGGAAUUUGAACUCAUCUUGGAGCUUGGGCCUACGGCCCAAGUAUUCUUCACACAUACACUAUCCAUUUUCAUCUCACCCACAGGUUCCAAUAUUAAUUUGGUUCUUAAUCCUCCGCUUAAUCCAUAAUUAACAAUUAAUUAUUUAGGGUUAAAUUCUGUUUUCUUAAUAAUCCUGAUGUUGGAGGGUUAAUUUGAUUGAUUUAGG